rnacentral:rRNA from 1 species
GAAYGACUCUCGGCAACGGAUAUCUCGGCUCUCGYAUCGAUGAAGAACGUAGCGAAAUGCGAUACUUGGUGUGAAUUGCAGAAUCCCGUGAACCAUCGAGUCUUUGAACGCAAGUUGCGCCCGAYGCCAUUCGGCCGAGGGCACGUCUGCCUGGGUGUCACGC